ACUGUACCUCAUCCACAUUUGCACAAUUAAGUUGUCAGUCUGGGUUAAGUGCUGUCUGUUGAUGGCUGUCAGCCUCUCUCUGGCUCCAUUCACUAACAGUUUGCUCAGACCCCGUGCGAAUGUCUUGCCCAUCUCUCAGUUCUAGGGACAGAGAGUAUGGUAGGAGAGGUGGGAGCCAAGGGGCCUAGAUUCCAGCCCAACUAGGCCACACAUCUGCUGUGAGUCUUGGUCAAGUCGCUUCCCCUGGCUGGGUCUGUAUCUCUCCCUUGUAAGAAUAGGGCUGAUCAUGUCUAACCAGUCUUCAUUCCUCUCAAAGCAACCUCAAGGGGCCUGUAACUGUGGCAGAGCUUAGAAACUGUGAACUCAGUGCCAAGUCCAAGGUAGCUGAGAAGAUGGAUGAGAGGAAUCUCUGAUUCCCCACCAUGUAGAUAAGGUUACCCACUCUCUGGUCUAGCCUGCUCUCUGGCUGUGCAUUUGGCUUCCCAAUUUCUUCCUAGCCUAAAGAUUCAGAGUAGAGGCUCUAAGCUAGAAGGGCAGCUUCCCACAACUGUGCCCAUCUAUCCCAGAUGUUCCAUGCCCUCCCCCAUACAAGACUCCUCAAACCUGCCUGCCCCAGACCAGAGGCAAGCUGUACCUGACCUUGCAGCCCCUUCUCCCGUUCCUGGAGCGGACCCUGAGCCUGUAGUGUAAGGCCUCCCUCCCACCACUCGUCAGACUGGCAGCUUGGAGCUAUGGCCUCGCCCUUCCCUGACACCAUGCUUCCCAGACCUGUCUGUGCUCCUCCUGCUCCCCGCUGGAUGCCCCUCCCCCACCAGCCUGCUGACAGACAGUUCCUCUCCCACCUACACAUGAGCCGGCAAGCUUCCCAUCUGGAAUGGUUUAUGUACCUGGCAGAAGAGGAACUAGCCUUUAUCAAGGAGCUGUUACAGCCCAGCCUUCACAUCCAUCAUCUCCUCUUCGCCCCACUGCAACCCUAGGUGGUAAAAUUUACUCCUGUUUUCCAGGUGAGAGCCAAGACUCAGGCACAAGGGGGAUCUAUACAGAGACAGUUGGCAUGGCGGCUGAAGCUCAAAUCACAGCUGGCAGAGCCGGACUGAGCUUAGGCCUGAGUGGACCUACUUCCUGUAUGGAGACUGAGGCACGAGUCCAUGUAAAUACUUGCUGUUAAUGGAAUUCUGCUACUUUGCAAAGGCCAGAGACCCCUGUGAUGCCCCAGAGUCAUCAUAUAGACAAGGGGAUCUUAGGAAGAGAGCCGGGCUCUUCAAGAGUUGUGGGUCGGGGCUGGAGAGACGGCUCAGUGGUUAAGAGCACUGACUGCUUUUCCAGAGGUCCUGAGUUCAAUUCCCAGCAACCACAUGGUGGCUCACAACC
rnacentral:lncRNA from 1 species